CCGCUGGGCAUCGCCUCCUGGGGCACAGAGGUAGCAGAGCAGCCAAUGUCCAGUGGGGAUUGUCCCCAAGCAAAUCCUUGGAACUAUUUCAUGUCCCUAUGGAUACAUUCAUCAUAGAUCCAUGGAUCGUCGAUAGAUCCAUCAUCCCUCCAUUCAUCCAUGGAUGCAUGGAUCCAUCCAUCCAUAUAUAGAUCCAUGGAUCCAUCCCUCCAUCCAUCAUCCAUCCAUCAUCCGUCAUCCAUCACCCAUCCGUCCAUCAUCCAUGGAUUAACCCAUGGAUCCAUUCAUCAUUCAUCCAUCCAUCUAUCAUCCAUCCAUCAUCCCUCCAUCCAUCCAUCAUCCAUCCAUCCAUCCAUCCAUCAUCCAUCAUCCAUCCAUCAUCCAUCCAUCCAUCAUCCAUCCAUCAUCCAUCCAUCCAUCAUCCAUCCAUCAUCCAUCCAUCCAUCAUCCAUCCAUCAUCCAUCCAUCCAUCAUCCAUCCAUCAUCCAUCCAUCCAUCAUCCAUCCAUCAUCCAUCCAUCCAUCAUCCAUCCAUCAUCCAUCCAUCCAUCAUCCAUCCAUCAUCCAUCCAUCCAUCAUCCAUCCAUCAUCCAUCCAUCCAUCAUCCAUCCAUCAUCCAUCCAUCCAUCCAUCCAUGGAUCCACCCCUCUCUCCAUCCAUUCCAGACUCCAGAUCCCCAAAAAUCCACCCCAGGUUGAACUUGUACCGGGACAUGUUGAAGUCAAACUCAUGUCAGAACCUCCUGCCCCAAAUGUGGCAACCCAAGCACCAACCCCAAAGCUGGAGCCUUCCAGGGCCUUCUCAGCAUCACCCUGUGGUGUUUGCACCUUCCAGGACCUCCUCAGCAUCACCCUGUGGGUGUUGGCACCUUCCAGGACCCCGUCACAAUCACUCUGUGGGUGCUUGCACUUUCUGGCACCUCCUCAGAUUCACCCUGUGGGUGCUGGAUCAUCCAUCCAUCCAUCAUCCAUCAUCCAUCCAUCAUCCAUCCAUCCAUCAUCCAUCCAUCCAU
rnacentral:lncRNA from 12 species